GACGAAGGAUGCAAGCGUUAUCCGGAUUCAUUGGGUUUAAAGGGAGCGUAGGUGGCCUUAUAAGUCAGUGGUGAAAUCUCGCAGCUUAACUGUGAAAUUGCCAUUGAUACUGUAGGGCUUGAGUACAGAUGCCGUUGGCGGAAUAUGACAUGUAGUGGUGAAAUACGUAGAGAUGUCAUAGAACACCGAUUGCGAAGGCAGCUGACGAAACUGUAACUGACACUGAGGCUCGAAAGUGCGGGGAUCAAACAGG
rnacentral:rRNA from 1 species